AAAUUUAUUUUCCUAUAGGAAAAAGGAGGGACUGAAUUGUGAAUCCAUUUUCUCUGCUUUCAGUUAUUUCUACUCCUGAGAAAAACCCUAAGCACUUAGGGUCUAGAACCACAUCCCGAGACGGUACGUGAAGCAGUUAUCCUGGUGCCGGUGCCUGGUACGUAUCAAGGGCACCAGAACAUUAGCUAUUUAACCUUAAGGUUUCA
rnacentral:lncRNA from 1 species